rnacentral:sRNA from 1 species
GCCGGGUGUGGUGGUGCACCCCUGUAAUCCCAGCAGCUUGGGAGGCUGAGGCAGGAGAAUCACAAGACCAAAGCCAACCUCAGCAACUUAGUGAGGCCCGAAGCAACUUAGGGAGACCUGUCUCUA